rnacentral:tRNA from 1 species
GAUUAAAUGGCUGAAAUUAGGCGGUAGACUGUAAAUCUAUUUAUGAGAGUUAUUCUCUUUAAUCA